rnacentral:rRNA from 1 species
AUUGAACGCUGGCGGCAUGCUUUACACAUGCAAGUCGGACGGCAGCACAGAGAAGCUUGCUUCUUGGGUGGCGAGUGGCGAACGGGUGAGUAAUAUAUCGGAACGUACCGAGUAAUGGGGGAUAACUAAUCGAAAGAUUAGCUAAUACCGCAUAUUCUCUGAGGAGGAAAGCAGGGGACCUUCGGGCCUUGCGUUAUUCGAGCGGCCGAUAUCUGAUUAGCUAGUUGGUGGGGUAAAGGCCGACCAAGGCGACGAUCAGUAGCGGGUCUGAGAGGAUGAUCCGCCACACUGGGACUGAGACACGGCCCAGACUCCUACGGGAGGCAGCAGUGGGGAAUUUUGGACAAUGGGCGCAAGCCUGAUCCAGCCAUGCCGCGUGUCUGAAGAAGGCCUUCGGGUUGUAAAGGACUUUUGUCAGGGAAGAAAAGGCUGUUGCUAAUAUCGACAGCUGAUGACGGUACCUGAAGAAUAAGCACCGGCUAACUACGUG